rnacentral:rRNA from 1 species
GACGAACGCUGGCGGCGUGCCUAAUACAUGCAAGUCGAACGCACAGUUUAUACCGUCUCUUGCUACACCAUAAACUGUGAGUUGCGAACGGGUGAGUAACGCGUAGGUAACCCGCCUGGUAGCGGGGGAUAACUAUAGGAAACGAUAGCUAAUACUGCUCAAUAUUAAUUAUUGCAUGGUAAUUGAAUGAAAGAUGCAAUUGCAUCACUACCCGAUGGACCGGCGUUGUAUUCGCUAGAAGGGGAGGUAACGGCGCACCUAGGCGACGAUGCGUAGCCGACCUGAGAGGGGGAGCGGCCCAGCUGGGACUGGGACACGGCCCAGAACACUAGGAGAGGGAGCAGUAGGGAAUCCUCGGGGAUGGAAGAAAGUCUGACCGAGCGACGCCGCGUGAAUGAAGAAGGUUGUCGGGUCGUGAGGGUCUGUUAUGAGAGAAGAACGGGUGUGAGAGUGGAAAGUUCACACUGUGACGGUAUCUUACCAGAAAGCGACGGCUAACUACGUG